rnacentral:lncRNA from 1 species
UUCUAUGUUGUGUCAUGUGUGCUGUUGUUUGUUUGUCUUUUUCAUUUUUAGCCAUGGCGUUGUCAGUUUGUUUUAGAUUUAUGAGUUUGACUGUCCCUUUGGUAUCUUUCGUCCCUCUUUUAUAACCACUGGGUCGAUGUCUCUGCUGGUGGACAUUUUGUCCCCGAGGACAUCAUCCGCCCAGUAGCAAAACUACAAUUGCAUGAAUUUACGAAGAUCAAAUAGGAAACUGGCUAGGACGUCGCCCAGUAUAAAAAGGUCCGAAACAGACGUCACCAUGGACACGGUGUCGUCUGAUACGGCAGAUGUCCCCUCAUCACCA